ensembl:lncRNA
GAGAGGUGGAGGACGUAGAGAGGUGGAGGACUUAGAGAGGUGGAGGAUGUAGAGAGGUGGAGGACGUAGAGAGGUGGAGGACGUAGAGAGGUGGAGGACGUAGAGAGGUGGAGGACGUAGAGAGAUGGAGGAUGUAGAGAGAUGGAGGAUGUAGAGAGGUGGAGGAUGUAGAGAGAUGGAGGACGUAGAGAUGGAGGAUGUAGAGAGGUGGAGGACGUAGAGAGAUGGAGGAUGUGGAGAGGUGGAGGAUGUAGAGGUGGAGGAUGUAGAGGUGGAGGACGUAGAGAGGUGGAGGACGUAGAGAGGUGGAGGAUGUAGAGAGGUGGAGGAUAUAGAGAGUUUGAAGAAGUAGAGAGGUCAAGGACGUAGAGAGUUGGAGGAUGUA